AAGUAUAUCGGCGGUUUCGUACCUAAGGUCUGACUCGGAAAUUAUAAAUGGAUAAAUGCGGGAAAAACGUCAUGUUCUUUAAUCAAACAGUUUUAAUCAUAAGCCCGCACUUCUUUGAGUUUAAUAAAAGAUAUAAAUAAAUUUAAAUAUAGCAAUUUUUCUUGUUUAAUUUAUUUGUCAGUAUAAGAGUAAAUUCAUGAAGUGGUGAUCAUGUAAAAAUCAAAGGUGUAAUUAUAGAUCUCCAGGGUGACUGUUAUUUAGAGAAUAAAAAAUUAUCAUGUAAUAUCAUUGGUUCAGUAUGGAUUUCAGUACAAGAAAGAUAUGAAUUAAAUUACAAAUUCAAAAGUAAAUUCAUGAAGUCUAUUGUUGAUCAUGUAAUAUAAGAGUCUAAUUACUACAAUAUUUUAUAUAUUGUUUUUAGAUCACAAAUGUAAUUAUUUGUCACAUAAAUAGAGAAAUUGUCCUGUCUCCCUCAAACAUUGGAACAAUCAUUCUAAAGACACUGAAACAAUAUUUUCCAAAAACACAAGGAUUGAUAUAUUAUCAAGAUGAACAGAAAUAUGGUAUAAUUAUCAAUGAAGAGAAUCUAAUUUUGAAUCAGAAAAUCAAAUAUAUGAAGUUCAUAUAAACAAUACAAAUACUUUAAUUCAAAAAGAAUUGAAGAAAGAAACAUGCAUCAAGGAAAUAAUUUCUUUGCAAUGUGAUAGCUCCACUAAAUCUUUAUGCUUCUCUUUCACAGCCUCAUGUCCUUCUAAGUCCUCAUCUGAGUGUUAUUUGCUGAUUGCAAAUUCGUCCAAAUUACCCAAACAUCGAAUACUACAUGUUGACUGGUUACACAAAAUAUCAGAAAGAUGUUAUAGUCAAAUGAAGAAGCAAACUGGUGGAAUAAAGGAGCUCAAAUUGAA